rnacentral:rRNA from 1 species
GAUGAACGCUGGCGGCGUGCCUAAUACAUGCAAGUCGAGCGAACAGACGAGGAGCUUGCCCCUCUGACGUUAGCGGCGGACGGGUGAGUAACACGUGGAUAACCUACCUAUAAGACUGGGAUAACUUCGGGAAACCGGAGCUAAUACCGGAUAAUAUAUUGAACCGCAUGGUUCAAUAGUGAAAGACGGUUUUGCUGUCACUUAUAGAUGGAUCCGCGCCGCAUUAGCUAGUUGGUAAGGUAACGGCUUACCAAGGCAACGAUGCGUAGCCGACCUGAGAGGGUGAUCGGCCACACUGGAACUGAGACACGGUCCAGACUCCUACGGGAGGCAGCAGUAGGGAAUCUUCCGCAAUGGGCGAAAGCCUGAUGGAGCAACGCCGCGUGAGUGAUGAAGGUCUUCGGAUCGUAAAACUCUGUUAUUAGGGAAGAACAAAUGUGUAAGUAACUAUGCACGUCUUGACGGUACCUAAUCAGAAAGCCACGGCUAACUACGUG